CAAGUCCCAAGUCUCAACUCAGUCCAUCUUCUUCUACCUUAAUUCGAUCCCAUGGCUGAUAUCCAAAAUUUGAGGAGUCUCCAUUCUCCACCACCAUGAGCAUUUCUUACUUAAUCCCACCACCGUCUGAUUCUCGACGCAAAAGUCGCCUGAGAAAUGGGUUCAGGAAGCGGUGUUUGAUGGUGAUGAAGCAGCAGAAAACAAGAAUCUACAUUUGGUUGCGACAUCAAAUGGCCGCUUACUUGAUUUGGUGGAUAAAAAGAGGGAAGGGGAGAUGCAAAACCAAGCCUGCUGCCUGCCUCCCCAACAACCACUCUAGUUCCACUUCUACCAUUCUACUGCCUGCCCCUUCCCUCUUCUACUCCAAACUCUGCUAAUAUUCUAACUACUGCUCCAAACUAUUCUUAUUACACUACUGACUAUGCUCAUGCCUUAAUAUUGUACAUGGACGAAUCCAAACUCCAUUCAUAUUUUGCCUUACAAUUACAGUAACCUCUGACGAUGCUCAUGCUUAGUACCUUUAUAAGGACUUGGGAUUGUACAUCGAUGAAUCCAAACUCCACUAAUAUUUUGCCUUAUCACUACUCCUGGCCAUGCUUAUGCUUAGUACAGUUACAAUGACUUGAAUAUGGAGUAAUGGAUGGCAACAGGGCGAUUUUGGGGCAGGGCCACCCGUCAACAAGUAACUCCCCCCGCCCCUGCCUCUCCCUUGUACUAGUGACCGAACUUCUUGUUGGCAUGGUGAGGUAGCAAUUCAAGGAGCAUAUAUAUGCAUGAUAGGUCUAGAUAAAUUUAGAUAACUGGAAAUUCCGCGAGAACUCUUGAAAUAGUUCAACUAGUUGUCUUGUUAGAUUUCCUUAAAGCAGGCUGAUGAACAUCUUGUUUGUAGCGAAUAAAGAAGUAACAUGACAGGAGGACUUCAGUCUUGAUUCU